UUUUUUUUUUUUUUUAAGUAGAAGAGUCCUAUAGUUAGUUUUAUCUCAUCUCCUUUAAGUUGAUGUUGAGGUUGACUGGAGACAAUACUAGUCAAAACCCAUAGUAGAAAAAAAGAGGCAUUUGGUAUAGCAAUUCUCCUCUGGUGGCAAUCUUGCACCUUCUUGUUGCACUUAACCUCAUGAUAAAGUGGAAAAUGUCCAACAAGAAAACUUGACUUGACUCCUAAAAUAAAAUAGCUUGUAUUAAUUCAUUAAUUCUACACUGGAUGUAGAAGUAAAAGUAAACAAAUUUUAAAAGAUAUGACACAAAAGAAAGAUGUACCAGUAAAUGUUUUCUAACAGUCAGGACUUUACAUUCAACAGAUGAGAAAUCCCCAGAAAAUUUUUCAUGUCAGGUAUAACUAGGGCCUGAUAUUUGGAGAAAUUGGUCCAGCCCCAUAAGGAGAGAGCUGGUUUUGUUGCAAUUUUAAAGGUCUAUUUUAACGACCUCCCUGCAUUGAAAUAACUCCCACACUGAUAUUUGAAAUGCCUAUUAGAUACCGUAAACCCUAAAGAUUUUGGUCCUCACCUUUUCCUAUUAAAUUGAAAUUGGUUUAUAGGAUGUAACACCAUAGGAAGCAUCAGCUAACACCUGAUCAGGGAUUGCUUUCCAAUCUGGCAGAGAGCUAAUUAAAUGAGAUAGUUCCUAUGGGAAAGUACAUAGAGGAUAGGUUGCCCAUAAGGAGAAGAGGAAUACUGACUGAGAACCAGGAUGCUAAAGAAAAUUUGGUCCAAUUGAACUUUAUCCUAGGGAUACAUAUAUUGGAAAUCAACACCAUUUUAUUUUCCACUCACUAAAGCAGUGCCGUUUUUAAACAAGAGAUAUGUACCAGAAUCCUCUGGCAGUGGGGUCUUAAGCCCACAAGUGGAUGGAAUGUGUCAGAAUUUCUGGUGGACAGACCAGGUCUGCAUAAUUCAAAUCUCUCCAGAUGAUUCUAUUACAUACGCCAUUGACAUAAAAAGCUAGCAAGGUAACUACUUUAGGUUCAGUUUUAUUCAAUAGACUUUCAUUGGAAACUUACUACAUAGAAGGACCAAUGUUGAAAUAAUAUGAACAUAACAGACAAAUGAGACAUGAAUCUUAGUUUCAAGGAGAGUAUAAUCUACCAGGAAUAAUAAAUCAUGAACAUUAGAAAAGCCAGGCAUAAUUGGCUAAAUAUUAUAAAAAUUCUGCAAAUAAAAUGCAGAGGAAUAUGUUACUUUUGAAGGGAACAUUCAGGAAAGAGCACAUGUUCAGGCCCCUUCCUCAUUUCCUCUACCUGCCCCUGGUCUCUCACAGGACUCUAGUGGCUGUCUAAACCACAGUCUUACUGUCCUUUGUGUCCCUAAACUAUGAUAGCUUUAAGACCACAAGUAACCUCAGAAAAAUCUGGAGGUGGGACCCUUAUAGUUUGCCCCAGGAUAAGGUACCCAAGCAUUUGACCCCAGGGUCAUGGGUUUCUACUGUAGCACCAGCCAGCGUAUUAAUCACACCAAUGUAUUGAUUUAGCCAGUUUGCAGAAGGCUCACAAUCAUAUAGAGCAGUGUGCUUGACUCUGAAAAGCAGGAAUGUAUAAAAACCCAUCCUUAUCCUUGAAGAAUACAUGGACUACAACAGGUUUGGCAUCAUUCAUAAAGACCUUGAAGUAUUCCCUACAUAAAUAUCUCCUCAGUGAAGAAUGACAGGUAGAUCAGUAGAGCAGACAAGGACCACAGACAUCAGUAGAAUAUCUAAAGCCAACAUUUUUGUUUUGCAGUACAGUCAAGAUUUUAGCAGGGUGUCAUUUGAAAGAAAUUAAUUUAUUUCUGAACAGAGACUAGCAGACAGUGGAAGAAAAGUAUCGCUCUUAAUAUGUUCCACUCCUAAGUUUUCCCCAAAUCUCUACAGCAUUCUACAAUUGCAUCUGUUCAGCCACCUAGCAAAUACAGAGUAUUUGCAAACAUUCUGCAAGCAGCUAUGAAUGUUUAAUUUUGAGAUAAUGCCUUCUUGAUGGGCUCACCCCAAGAGUAUUUUGAAUAGCCUAAAUGUGAAUUACUGGUUGCAAAAAGACAUUUGGUUGCUUUAAAUCAUGUCUGUCUGUGACUGAAAAUAUGACAAUAUCGAAACACAAGGUCAUGUCUAUGUGAUCAAAGCCCAUAAGUGUAUCUUUGGCAGAAGGACUAUCAAGAGAGAAGUGUUUAAUAAUUAACCAGAAGCUGUCAUAAUUAAUGAAAUACAAUUUUGGAAAUUAUUCUACAUUUUACCAACAACAAAAGAUGGCAAAGAUACAUUUGUUAAAAAGUUGAAAUGUCUUGAUUUAACUUUCUAACAUCCAGUUUCUAUAUCUCAGUUUCAUUGUCAGUAAGAAGAAAUAAAAUUAAUAAUCAUCCUUUGAGGUAUUAAUGAUAUUUCCUUAUAUUUUUUUAUUAAUAUGCUACUUAAAAUUAUUUUUAUAUAGAUUAUCUCUAUUUAGACUCACAAAAAUAUUCUGAAGUAAGCAGGAAAGAUUUUUUGUAUUCAUUUAUUUAUUUUUUAUAGUCAGUUUCUCAACUGUGAAGGUGAUUAACCAACCAAGCACAGGUGGUUAGCGGCAAGAGUCUUAAUUCAAACAUACAUGUUAUCAUUCUGAGUUCACUACUUGCACCAUUAGGAUUGUUUUUCUUUUAAUUAGAAGAAAUAUUGACUCAAACUAUAAUAAAACUAAAAAUAAAAUGAUUGGGUCAUAGAACUGAUGAGAGUAUGGUUAAGGCUGGCUCUACUUGCAGCUAAGGCUCAGACCCAGUCACAGAGGUGCCUAUUUUAAUAUCCUUUCCUCUGUUUCAUCAUCAAGCUUUUCUCUUCAAGAUAAUCAACUGACCUCAGCAAUCACAGACUCCGCAAUUCACACUAUUCAUUCCAAAGACUGGAAAAUUUCCCUUUUCAGAAAGUGCCAACAAAUGCUUCCUUUGAUCCACUCUGUUGUGUGCUACUAAAUGUGCUACUCUGAACCAAUUAUUGCAAAGUAUAAGAUGGAUAGUCCAUUUGGUUUAAGCCAAUACACCUGAUGUUGGAGAAAAUUCUACUCGGAGUUGAGAAUUAGAAGCACGAUUUGUCACAGGAUGUUUAGGAAACUGUUUCCAGCAGGAGAGAGAAUUCAUAUUAGGAAACAUAAUGCUUCUAAGGACUCUUCAUUAUCUAAACCCCACACACAAACAAUGCUCACUGGAAUGCCUCCUAUGCAUUUUUAUUUAGACCUGUCUUUUAUAAGGAUAAAACCCCAGGAAAGCAUCAAUGAUAUCUCGUCUAGUUAUGCAGUUCGUUCCUUCAGAGACAUUGUGAACUAUGUAAAUGCUGGGGUCCUUGACCAUGACUCAGUAGGCAACUUAUUCAUCCAAAGUCAAUGAGACUUUCCUCCAAGCAGGAUUUAGCACAAAUUUAUUUCAUUAUAAAAGAAAAAUGAGGAAAUACUUGAAAUGCUCCUGAUCAACAAGGUCUUGAAAGUAGGAAGAAGACUAUACUGCUACCUGAAAUAAGAUACUCCUAAUUCCACCUGAUUAUGCUAGGGUCUUUUUUUCACCUUCUUUCUUUUCUUCCUACAUCCCUCUCCCUAGUUUUAUUCCUUUCCUGUCUUCCUUCUAUCCAACAAACAGAUAUGUGUUUCCUAAGUGUAAGGCCUUGUAAUAGUAUAGCUGAGAAACAAAGAGAAAGUCAGACCCUUGCCUUUAAGGGUAGACAGACAAGUACACAGAUCAUUAUAAUUUAGUUGGAAAAAUGCCUUGAUAAGAAAGAAGUUGUGUUACAUGGUCAGACUUUCUGCUAUGUUCCAUUGGCCUGUCCAAGGAAGCUUUCCCCUGCUUGUUCUCCAAAACUUAUCUGAACAGUUCUCUCUUUCUGUGUCCCCAAAGAGCCCUUUUCAUGCUUUGGUUUAUCUUAGUGUGUUUUAUUGUCUUUGCCAACCAUAGCCCUAUCAGCAUUAAAAUGAGAGACCAAGAAUUCUCUAAGGACAAGUUCCCAAAUUUAAUUUGACAUCAGUAAAGAAUUUACAUUUUUCUAAAAUUUAUCAUAGUAAUUAGAGAUUGUUCUGACCCAAUCACAUUUUCUCAGGAAGACAAAGACUCUUAGGGAAGGAGUGAGAAUGAAGUAAGCACUAUAGUGUUCAUGUCAAGAAAUUUAUGCGUAUUGAUCCAUGUGAUUUGUGAACAAAUCUCUAGUCCUCCCUGUACACACUUUAUAUACUUUUCCCUCUUAUGUAUACACAGCACCAGUAAUUCAUUUCCAAUAUUUGAGCUACCUGACUGGAAAAUCAAACAUCAAAACAUAAAACCUAAAAUCACGCAUGAGCAAAUUGCUAAGAGGGUAGAUUUCAAGUGUUAUCACCACAAAACAAAAGGUAACUGAUGAAAUGAUGAAUGUGUUAAUUACAUGAUUAUGGUAAUCAUGUCAUAAUGCAUGCAUAUAUUAAAAGACCACGUUAUGCAACUUAAACAAAUUCAAUUUUUAUUUGUGAAUUUUGCCUCAAUAAAACUGAGGGGGAAAAAUGAUGGAGCUUGACUAUUUCCAGUGGCUUUUCUUUUUUCACACACAAUGUGAAGAAGUUAGACAAGAUAAUCUCUAAAGUCCUAUUGAACUCUAAUCAUUUUAUAACAGGUUUAGAAUGAUUUAAUGGCAAUGAUUUAGGAAGCAGUGUAAUAUUGAUUGUGGUUCUAAAUUGUACUGAUGUGUUUGCAUUUGAGUGUACUGCAAAUCAAAUUCAUUGUAAAAUCAUUAAAGAAGGCAUAAAUAAGUUUGCCCACUUUACUCAAAUAUUUGAUACUUGUUUCCUUUCUGAGGGAAUACUUUUUAUUCCUGAAAAAGUAUUUCCUAAUCAUGCUCUGGUACACAAAAGUUAUAAUGGAAUGAUUGCUAUAUCUUAACUACAGCUAACAGACUGCUUAGAGAAAUGCGUUUCUCCAUGUAAACACAACACUUAUUCACUUUUACUAUAUUAGUGGUUACCCUCAAUAAUAUAUCUGCCAGUUGAAAAUUGUUUUCCUUUGUAUGAGGUGCAAGGGCAUAUAAAUUGCUCAAAUUCAUUCUUUCUCAGUUGUAUAGCCCCCAAGAUUUCUUGAUGAAUUUGAGAUUUAUCCAUAUGGUCAUCUUAAAAUUCCAGAUGUCAGACAUUCUCGCUGAUAUUUACUUAUUGCAAAAUACCUUGUUCCCUUGACUCUCUAUGAGAACAUUUUUGCAUACCCUCUGUCUUCAUAAAACAUUCUAUCACCCCAAACUUUUGCCUGUUUAAAUCCUUUUCAACAUAUAGAGCCGUCUUAAGUGCUUCCUCAAAAAAGUAUUCCUUUCUCCAGGAUUCUCCUAGGGAAUCACUUUUAUAGAUAUCUCUUAAAAAAUUUCCUUAGCACUUUGCUUUUCUCUCAACAUUUUGUUUUGUUUAUUUGUGUGUACCUUACUAGUCUUAAUUCCAUGAAAUCAAACAUGAUUUCUAUAUCAUGGACUUUAGCACAGUGCUUGAUAUACUCCUUAGAUAUUUAUCACAUAUAUAAAGAAAGAAAUGAAUGUCAUUGAUUAAAUGCUAGUUAACUCAGCAAAUCCAAACAUUAUUGAUUUAUUCUUGAUUACUACAUUAUGACUGAAUUCCCCUAUAUAAAAUGUAUAUAAUUAGCUAACAUUUCCCUUAAUUUAUACUUUAGAGUCAAGCUUUAGCUUGAGAAUAGGCACAUAUUUUCUCUCCAUAGUCUAUAUAACACCUCUUUUUCUUACAAGAAAACAUGGUUUGCACUUUUCCAUUUGUGCUUUGAAUCCAUUUUUCAAACCUGCUUUAUUGUAGAAGAGAAUAAUAUUUAUUUCAUUUUGCCCUCAAAAUCUUUCAAAUCAUGACUCCAAAAUUGAUGAUG
rnacentral:lncRNA from 1 species